GCACUUGACUUUUUAUGAUCUCCCUUUUCUUCUUAUCGUUUAAUCCCCUUACAUUCCUACUUUGAUCUUCAUAUUGAAUGAUUGAUAGAUCUCUUCCCCUACUCCUUUUCCCGUCACUCUUGAAUUUGACAUCAAAAGAAAUUAACCCUUUUAAUUCCAGUGAUCCUUUGAAUCUUUGUUUCUUCACCUCCAACUCUGUCUCCACCCUUCUUACCUGUCUGCAGCUGUCAAUUUGCAUUAACAACUCCAGUGCUUCUUCUUCAUGGCCUUGAAAAUCUACUCCAAACAUUUUUCCCAAUUUGAUCAUAUUUUGAUGGACCCAUAGUGUUGCAUCGAUGUUUUUAUCCAUUAAUGGAUUGUGUUGUUGAACUGCUAUAGGAUUCACCUCCUCGAUUUCCCAAUCUUGGAUAGAGCUAAAUUGCUUUAGAUGUUCCAAAGCACUUCCAACAUGAUCAUUCCCCAUAUUUGUGUUUAUGUUUUGCUCCCCUGCCUUCUGUUUCAGUCUUGCUAUCUCUACUCCACCUUCUGGCUGACUGCAACUGAUAAGUGUUGCCUUUGGCAUAUUUUUCAAGAUUUUCAUUGGGGAUUGGAUCCCCUGGAGAGGACUCUUUUGCCCCCAAGUAAGAAGGUCCUCCCAUUUCCUCAAUAUAAGGCUUCAGCGCCAUUUCCUCAAUAUAAGGCUUCAGCCUAAUAUCAUCAGAAACCUCACACGAGAGAUCAUUAAAAAUGACUUGUGCAGCCAAAUCAGAGUCAUAGGAUUUCAGCUCGUUGUUUGUCACUUUACUGCUCUGAUUCAUCGAACUCGAACCUUGUGUAAGUUGCCCACUUGCCUUUCCUUUAUCAGUGUUUUGCCAUAUGGUGCACCCCACUUGAUUGUUCAAAUAUCUCUCUAUUUCAAAACAUUGUUCGUUUUCUUGCGUCUUCAGCUCAUAUCUUGUCUGACUUUCAGCCCAGAUUAGGAUGAAAAAUUUGAUACGGUCUCUUUCAAUCCCAACCUCAUUGGGAGUCUUUCUGCCAUCACCAGCAAUUUUGAUUCUUGCCCACUUAAGAUUGAUUUUUGAGAUCAGUUUCUUCUUCAGUAGCUAACCAUCCUCCACAGAGAUCUCCUAUUUCUUUGAAGAUCUUUUGUGACCAUAGAUGUAAAGGAAUCCCCAUGGCUCUAAUCCAGCAUGUUUCCUCAAUUUGUGAGUUUGGAAUGCAUCUAGCAGUAUGAUUCCACCAUUCCAGAUGAAGCUUGAACUUUUUCCAUCUCCAUUCUCCUUGCAAACUUUGCUCCGCCAUGAAUCUGUUUGGAAAUUCAAAAAGAAACAUGUUGCCUGUCAUUUCGUACAUGUUUACUCCAUAUGCUUUGUUCCAUGAAGCACUAGCCCAUCGCCUUAUGUCUGCUAAAGUGGGUCUCUCAUUGAUUUCUUUCCCAAAAAAACCCGAUAAUGCAUCUUUUUAGUAGACCUGUGUCCUCUCCUCCAGUAGGUUCCAAAACAAAGAUAUCGCCAUUGUUCGUGCUGACCCUUGCCUCUCGAAGGGUAUUGGAUUGCCUUUUACUCUCCUUAACUUCUUGGGCAUGAGGGAAAUUGUCCACAGUGUUUCUGAGUGGUACUAUGGAAUUCAGCUUGGUGGUCUGAUAAAUGAAUUUUUCUAUCUUAGCUGCUAUGUCUUUCCAGCCAAAAUUCAAAGUUAACUCUGGGAUUAUGAUCACUGACCUCCCUUUUCCCUUCAGUGACAGAAUACUCAUAUAUCUUCCAUGAGCGUUAAAUUUCCUAGUACAGAAAUGUUUUGUCAUUUGCUCCUUGUACUUCCAUCUCUUCACUAGAUUGUUUUGAUCUGUUACGCUUCUUUAAGUGCAAAGCAGAUCCAUUCCAUUGCCUUUCUACCCAUGGAUGAUCUUCUCAUCAUGUUGCGGCUUCUCUCCACCCAUUCAAACCAUGUGUCUUUGUUGGAGUUCCAUCUGGUGAUGUCAAAAGAUUUGAAUCCUGCGUUGAAAUAUAUCCUGUUGUCUCCCAUAUUGUACUAACCAGCUGCUCAGGUUAUGAAAUUAUAGAGGUUGUUUGGAAAUUAUCACAGUGAGCUAGAAAACCUGAAAAAAAAGAACAGAAACCAGAAAUCUGGACAGAGAAGGGUUCCCCGCCACCGGAAAAAAUAAAAGUUGUCGGAAUUCAGAAAAGAUUGUAUGGAUGUGCUCGGAAUUACCCAGUGAGCGGGCUGUCCAACAAGAAAAUUUUGAAAAGUGGUCGGGAUGUUGCUCACGCGCCGGCGCGUGGCAUUUGUCUCGCCGGAACGAGCUGCGCGUGGGGGCGCGUGAAAGGUUCUUUGUCGGAGCUGUUUUCAGAGGGGUGGUCGGAAUUGAAUAGGCAUGCUAAUGAUGUUUAUGGAGUCUCAAGAUUCCUUGUUCUCAGACUCCUCGGGGAGUGUGCCUGAGAGCUUAAGAAAGUAGAGAGAGAAAAUCGGAUAAGUUAAAUACUUACACUUGAUGGUAAUCUAUUAAUGACAUACACUGCUGCCAGCACACAGUGUCCCCAAAAUCUCAAAGGAUGAUUCUUGAAACAGAUGGUAGUGUCAUUGGUGGCAAAGUUGCUAGUCAUAAUAUGGAUGAUGGGUCACCCAUUUCCGAGCAGACAAUCAGUCAAGCUUUGGCAACGGCUCGCGAGCAUUUUACACGAUCACUUCUCAGAUGAAGCAUCUCAAUGCUCGUGAAAAGAGAUACAUUGACUUCAUUCUUUACAAGUGUUUGUCCCCAAAAUUUUCAGUUGGUUUUUCCUCGGGAUGGAAAUGUUGUCCAUCCUUUUUAAGUCGAUUCAUGUUUUAAGCUCAUACAGAUUAUCUUAUUUCUGUUAGUUUUAAGCCUUUUACUCCAAAUGUCAUUUGGGACAUUAUGCAGGUUGUUGAAUUGUGAUAGAGGUUUUGCUGAUUUAAAAGAACAUUUUUGUGCUCGUUA